ensembl:lncRNA
AGCGUGGGUUCUGUAACGCGUGGGUUCUGUAACGCUGGGUUCUGUAACGCGUGGGUUCCGUAACGCUGGGUUCUGUAACGCUGGGUUCUGUAAAGCGUGGGUUCUGUAACGCUGGGUUCUGUAAAGCGUGGGUUCUGUAACGCUGGGUUCUGUAAAGCGUGGGUUCUGUAACGCUGGGUUCUGUAAAGCGUGGGUUCUGUAAUGCUGGGUUCUGUAAAGCGUGGGUUCUGUAACGCUGGGUUCUGUAACGCUGGGUUCUGUAACGCUGGGUUCUGUAACGCGUGGGUUCUGUAACGCUGGGUUCUGUAACGCGUGGUUCUGUAACGCUGGGUUCCGUAACGCUGGGUUCCGUAACGCUGGGUUCCGUAACGCUGGGUUCCGUAAAGCGUGGGUUCUGUAACGCUGGGUUCUGUAACGCUGGGUUCUGUAAAGCGUGGGUUCUGUAACGCUGGGUUCUGUAAAGCGUGGGUUCUGUAAAGCGUGGGUUCUGUAACGCCGGGUUCUGUAACGCCGGGUUCUGUAACGCGUGGGUUCUGUAACGCGUGGUUCUGUAAAGUGUGGGUUCUGUAACGCGUGGGUUCUGUAACGCUGGGUUCUGUAACGCUGGGUUCUGUAAAGUGUGGGUUCUGUAACGCGUGGGUUCUGUAACGCUGGGUUCUGUAACGCUGGGUUCUGUAAAGUGUGGGUUCUGUAACGCUGGGUUCUGUAAAGCGUGGGUUCUGUAACGCCGGGUUCUGUAACGCCGGGUUCUGUAACGCUGGGUUCUGUAACGCUGGGUUCUGUAAAGUGUGGGUUCUGUAACGCGUGGGUUCUGUAACGCUGGGUUCUGUAACGCUGGGUUCUGUAAAGUGUGGGUUCUGUAACGCGUGGGUUCUGUAACGCUGGGUUCUGUAACGCUGGGUUCUGUAAAGUGUGGGUUCUGUAACGCGUUGGUUCUGUAACGCCGGGUUCUGUAACGCUGGGUUCUGUAACGCUGGGUUCUGUAAAGUGUGGGUUCUGUAACGCUGGGUUCU